UCAGUUCUUUUCACCAGUGCUUGAGUUGAAUUAUAAUUUCCUAUCACAGGAAGCAGUAGGGAAUAAACAAAGAAUUGCUUAUUGGAUCCUAACCAAAUUUAAAUAUGUAAUUUUCCAUUAUACUGCAUUUGUUUUAAAGUUAACCAGGAGGGAAAAAUUCACACUGAAACACCGCUAAAACUAUAAAGUUCAAUAUCAACAGUUUUCCUUGACAACACAUUGACCACAAAAUCCCCAAGUGAACCAUAUUGAUGUUCUCACUAUUUUUUCCUAAAAUCCUGCUAAUUGUCAUGUUUUUCUUAUGAAAUAAAGCCUUCAUGGUGUUCUCUAAGCUUGUAAUACAAAUGCAUUUUAUCUUUCAUUUUGUACUAUGCUCCCGAAUCCAGUUCGGGAGGCAGCUCUUCAGUAAAUGUAUCUCUACUCUUCUCUCAUCACCUUACAUCUUGACCCUGGGAUCGGUUACUAGCUGGUUUCCUCACCUGCAGCCACCCAUCUCCACCCAAUCCAUCCUGCAAGCCACCACAAGAGUAAUCUUCCUAAAGGAUAACAUGACACUCUUCCUCAAAGACCUCCAAACCCAAGAGAUAAAUAUAAAAAUGUAACUGACUUCACAAGGAGCCACCAAGCUAGUGAAGAGGUGCUGGUUCCCAGGGCCUUGUGACACUGGUGAAUCUGCUGUGUUCUUAAACUGUAAACAGAAUCCAGCUCUAUUUACAAUAGCCAGGACGUGGAAG